rnacentral:snRNA from 1 species
UAUUUUAAAACUAUAUAAUACCAUUAAUGUGGAACGCUUCACGAUGGCAAGGCCCCUGCGCAAGAAUGACACACAAAAUCGUGAAGCGUUCCACAUUUAU